CCUACGGGGGGCAGCAGUGGGGAAUAUUGCGCAAUGGGCGAAAGCCUGACGCAGCGACGCCGCGUGAGGGAUGAAGGUUUUCGGAUCGUAAACCGCUGUCAGCAGGGAAGAACGGUCACUGUGGUAAUCAGCAGUGAAUUGACGGUACCUGCUAAGGAAGCACCGGCUAACUCAGUGCCAGCAGCCGCGGUAAUACGGAGGGUGCGAGCGUUAAUCGGAAUUAAUGGGCGUAAAGCGCUCGUAGGCGGUAUGUCAAGUCAAGGGUGAAAUCCCCGCGCUCAACGUGGGAACUGCCUUGGAGACUAGCAAACUAGAGUGUGAGAGAGGAUAGUGGAAUUCCAGGUGAAGGAGUGAAAUCCGUAGAUAUCUGGAGGAACAGCAGUGGCGAAGGCGACUAUCUGGCACAUAACUGACGCUGAGGAGCGAAAGCGUGGGUAGCAAACAGGAUUAGAUACCCCUGUAGUC
rnacentral:rRNA from 1 species